UCCCCAGCUGUUUCUGGACUACAACUCCCAUCAUCCCUAGCUAGCAGGACCAGUGGUCAAGAACAAUGGGAGCUAUAGUCCAAAAACAGCUGGGGA